CAUGUCAUUCCAAAUCCACAAGUUCUUAUCGGAUUCAAAACGAUCAAACUCGUAUAAAGAUCCCCACCAAGCUUGGGCCUCCGGAUUGAAGAAAUCGACCCAAACAGAGUUUCCAGGCCAGCAGUCAGCAUUAUAGUUGUCAACUCCAGAUUUAUCCUUCACCGCAUAAUUGUAAUCAAUAAGCUCCUUAGAAACAAAAUAAUUAGGAUCAUUUUUUAUAUGGGGAUCUAAAAUAACUAUUAACUUUCGUGAUUUAGAAUCGAGUUUUUCUAACAUCGCCUUAGGAUUAGGGAAAGUAGCCUUAUCCCAAGUGAAAUAUCUACGCUUAGAAGCGUAUUCGAUAUCUAACCAAAUCGUAUCAUAUGGCAUAUCAACUUCAUCAAACUUAGCGUCAACAUUUAAAACAUCCUCCUCUGAAACGUAGUUCCAUCGACAUUGAUGAUAGCCAAUCGAAAAUAAAGGAGGGAGAAGCGGACGACCUACAAGAGCGGAGUAUGAUUCGUAAACAUCACUAGCUUUAGGACCAAGGAAAAUGAAUAAGUCAAGGGUACCGCUUUCUGAAUACCAAUGGGUGGAAGUGGACUGUGAAUGCGGAGACGGCCCUGAUUCUUUUUCAACGUCUAUCCAAGUAGCUGCUGCGUUAGACCAAAAUACGGCAACGUCAGAAUUUGGUUUAUGAGCUUGCAUGAAAGGAAUAGCGCCAUAUUGGCUCAUCGGUGAAUCAACCUCAUACUCAAAAAGAUCUACAUUGUAAAGUCUAUACGGUUCAGUAUAACCUGCGUCCGAGUUAUUUGUUUCUUUCAAUGAAAGGGAACUCGUGUGCUCAGGAACGCCAUAUACGUUACCAUAAUCAACAAACUUAAUGUCCAAACCAACGCUCUCCGGACCCUUAGGCUUUGAAUCAUGAAAAUUAUCAAAAGUCUCAUCCCACAUGCCAUUUGCUUCCUGUUCAGGGGUUCGAGAGGAUUUAGGACGAUAGUACUCCAUAUUCAAAAGGUGUCGUUCAUUUAAAACAACUUGAGGCUCUCCGUCCCGUUGAAAUUCUACCUUAAAUGGACUGAAUGUUACAAUUACUGUGAAUCUCCCGUGCGAUCCAUAACGAAUCGUUAAAGAGGUACUAGUUUGUUCAAGUAAAUGAGCAUCUUUUCCAUAAACUUCAGCUCGUUCAUUGAAACCAAGUUCAGUAGACGCAUCAAAACGACGCUUGGUCAAAAUAUUCUUUUCAUAUUCAACAGUACCUUCUAAUCGGCUUUUUUCAUCCAUUUGGAAUCGAACAACAUCAUUUUUUAAAAAACUGAUGGAGAAUGGAAAAAGAUGCUGAUUCUCUCCAUUUUCUGAUUGUUGUUCAAAGACACCGCUAACAACUCCACUGUUAUACGAAAUGCUAUUCAGUUGAAAUAAUCCAUUCCAAUUCAAAUUUUCCUUCUGAAAUUUCGCUAAAUCUCUGUUACGCCGUGCAAACCCAUCCUGUUCAGCAGUUUUAAAUUGAUGUCGAAAUGCACCUUGGCAACUGCCAAAGAUUGCAAAAAUUAUCGCAGCUUGGAAUAUAAACCAACAUAUGCCAUGAUAUCUCAUAUUAUUAAUUUUUUAUCCUUCAAUAAAGUAUAUGGAAUCUUUCCGGAAGAAGUUACAAUUCGCAUCUACUCCAGAUAGACUGUUGUUGAGCAAGUCCAAUGUAUGACAACUUUUACCAGGCUAUUCCCAUACCAAGUAACAUUGCUACUUAAAAUAAGAGGUAUGGUUAAAGAAAAAAAAAGGACUCAUUAGAGACUACUUUAUUGUAUAGGAGUAUAAUGAAAAAUAUAAAACUGAAUAUCGUGAAGGAUGGUUCAAACAUUGCUGAGAAUUACAUCGCUAUCGAGGUAUAAACAAGCACAAUUGUCAAUAAAACAGCUUGAAAGAUAAAUAUAAAUGAGAAAGAAAGUAUUUCAAACACGAAAAAAUAUAACGUUCAUACCAUUAUUAUUAUUUUGCUGUACUUUCAGCAGUAGAUUUUAUUACGAAAUAUGCUUGGACAACAGCAAUUAACAUAUUACUAAUUACAAAGAGCAACAGCAAAUGGCCUUUAGAAACAUUC